AAUAAUCGCUGAAUCUCCUGAAAGGGAGAGCCGAGGAACCAAAUUUUAGGGGUGCAUCAUUAAAGUGAAGGAAACCUUUUAUUCCUAACCCGUCAGCUAACUUGGUAAGCAAAUAAAGGGGA
rnacentral:sRNA from 1 species